rnacentral:rRNA from 1 species
GUCCUUUUGAUAAUAAUAUAAGGUCUAACCUGCCCACUGAAAUUUUAAAGGGCCGCAGUAUUUUAACUGUGCAAAGGUAGCAUAAUAAUUAGUUUCUUAAUUAGAAGCUGGUAUGAAUGGUUGAACGAGAAAUUUACUGUCUCAAUUUAUAUAUUAAAAUUUUAUUUUUAAGUUAAAAAGCUUAAAUUUAUUUAAAAGACGAGAAGACCCUAUAGAGUUUUAUAAAUUUAAUUAUAUUAUUUUUAGAAUUUUUUUUUAGUUAUAUUUAUUUUAUUGGGGUGAUAUAUAAAUUUAAUAAACUUUAUAUUUUUAAUAACAUUAAUUAAUGUUUAGUUGAUCCAUAUAAAUGAUUAAAAGAAAAAAUUACCUUAGGGAUAACAGCGUAAUUUUUUUUUAGAGUUCUAAUCGAAAAAAAAGAUUGCGACCUCGAUGUUGGAUUAAAAUUAAUUUUUGGUGUAGAAGCUAAAAUAUUAGGCCUGUUCGACCUUUAAAAUUUUACAUGAUCUGA